GAUGAAGAACGUAGCGAAAUGCGAUAAGUAAUGUGAAUUGCAGAAUUCAGUGAAUCAUCGAAUCUUUGAACGCACAUUGCGCCCGCCAGUAUUCUGGCGGGCAUGCCUGUUCGAGCGUCAUUUCAACCAUCAAGCCCCAGGCUUGUGUUGGGGACCUGCGGCUGCCGCGGGCCCUGAAAACCAGUGGCGGGCUCGCUGUCACACCGGGCGUAGUAGAUUUUAUCUCGCUCAGGGCGUGCUGCGGGUUCCGGCCGUUAAAAAGCCUUUUUUACCCAAGGUUGACCUCGGAUCAGGUAGGAAGACCCGCUGAACUUAAGCAUAUCAAUAAGCGGAGGA
rnacentral:misc_RNA from 1 species